rnacentral:rRNA from 1 species
UACGUAGGAGGCGAGCGUUGUCCGGAAUUACUGGGCGUAAAGCGCGUGUAGGCGGGGGGGCAUGUUUCCUGUGAAAGCGCCGGGCUCAACUCGGCGAGGCCAGGGAAAACGGUCCUUCUCCGUGGAGUGUGGCAGGGGGGCGUGGAAUUCCGGGUGUAGUGGUGAAAUGCGUAGAGAUCCGGAAGAACACCAGUGGCGAAGGCGGCGCCCUGGGCCACUACUGACGCUGAGACGCGAAAGCUCGG